rnacentral:misc_RNA from 1 species
UUCGGAUCGUUCUGUACUCGGCAGCAGAGAAGUCUACUCUUAUUCGACGGGAAGCUACGGGAAGAACUCGUCGACUUUGAAGUCUUCUGGUUCGUAUGCUUCGUGUGGUUCGUAUGGUUCCUCGUCUAGCUUCCCCAGCGGAUUUUUCGCAGCUGCGGGAUUCUCGAUUGAAGAAAUUUAUAAGGCGACGGACAAUUUCUCUGCCGCGAAUGUUCUUGGGGCUGGAGCAUUUGGGACAGUUUAUAAAGGGAAGCUCAAAGACGGGUCUCUUGUUGCCGUAAAGCGAGCCAAAAGGAAUACGAAUGAGAGG